rnacentral:rRNA from 1 species
UACGUAGGGACCGAGCGUUGUCCGGAAUCAUUGGGCGUAAAGAGCGUGUAGGCGGCCAAUUAAGUCCUGCGUGAAAUCUCGGGGCUCAACCCCGAGCGGUCGUGGGAAACUGGUUGGCUAGAGUGCGGGAGAGGAGAGUGGAAUUCCGGGUGUAGCGGUGGAAUGCGUAGAGAUCCGGAAGAACACCGGUGGCGAAGGCGGCCUGCUGGGCAGUGGCUGACGCUGAGGCGCGACAGCGUGGGGAGCAAACAGG